rnacentral:rRNA from 1 species
AUUGAACGCUGGCGGCAGGCCUAACACAUGCAAGUCGAGCGGAGCGGCGGACGGGUGAGUAAUGCCUAGGGAUCUGCCUGGUAGUGGGGGAUAACGUCCGGAAACGGGCGCUAAUACCGCAUACUAUCAGAUGAGCCUAGGCCGGAUUAGCUAGUUGGUGGGGUAAAGGCCUACCAAGGCGACGAUCCGUAACUGGUCUGAGAGGAUGAUCAGUCACACGGGAACUGAGACACGGUCCAGAAUCCUACGGGAGGCAGAAGUGGGGAAUAUUGCACAAUGGGCGCAAGCCUGAUGCAGCCAUGCCGCGUGUGUGAAGAAGGCCUUCGGGUUGUAAAGCACUUUCAGCGGGGAGGCGUUACCCGCAGAAGAAGCACCGGCUAACUCCGUGCCAGCAGCCGCGGUAAUAC